rnacentral:sRNA from 1 species
CCCGUCACGCCUCUUAACAAUGCGCACCCGACGGGU